UACAGAGGGUGCGAGCGUUAAUCGGAGUUACUGGGCGUAAAGGGCGCGUAGGCGGUUAGUUAAGAUUGUUGUGAAAUCCCUGGGCUUAACCUAGGAACUGCAACGAUGACUGGCUAGCUGGAGUAUUGUAGAGGGUAGUGGAAUUUCCGGUGUAGCGGUGAAAUGCGUAGAGAUCGGAAGGAACACCAGUGGCGGAGGCGGCUACCUGGACAAAUACUGACGCUGAGGCGCGAGAGCGUGGGGAG
rnacentral:rRNA from 1 species